GUCCAUCUCUGGUGUGUCCCAGAAGUGCCACUCCACUGUUCUUCGCUGGAGACAUGCACCAGCUGCUGUGUUGCUUUGUGCCAUUUCUCAUGCUGAUAGAGCGAGGACAUUUUUUAAAAUUUUCCUUCAUUUUUAGGUCAAGCUAUUUUACUUAUGCCACAUUUUGUGUGUCGUAAUAAAUGCAUAUCUGUUCCAAAUGUC